GUCCUCUUCGGCUUAUAUGCAAUGUGACAUUGUGAUUAAAGUUUAACACUUGUGCCUUGGUGAGAUUAUCACAGAGUCCCAGUGUUUUGAGUUCUGAUGCAUGCGUUGCUCAGAGCGUGAACCUUUUUGCCUGGCAGUAUGGCGAUGAAUGAGUCUUUAGAGUCCUCUUCAAACCGGAAGCCAGUGGAAUAUCUGUUUUUGCUUUCUUUAUUACAGUACCUUCCCGUCAGACGAGUAGCUGAUUUACUGGCUAGUUAAUAUGUCAAAGUCUUGCUUUUCGUCAUAAAACACAGAGGACCGGAGCUGCUACAAGGGAUGUGUAUGGAACACGAAAAUGUAGAGCUGCAGUGACCAAGCACCAGGGAAAUUAGCAUGGAAGCUGUGAGAGUAAUAAAUCAUGAGAUCCUGCAGUGGACCGAUGAGAUGAAGAUAUUCUGUGUGAGUGGAGAACAGUAGAGUGACACACAUCAGUUCUGGAGAAGCCAUGGGACUGAGCUGCUAGAACGAUGCUGACUUAAUGCUUUGUGUCUCUGGAGACUCAUCAGAGUUACAUUGGGAUGCAGAGCAAAGCUCCAACACUUGCCUUUAAACAGAAGAGAGCCUUUCGCCCCAUCAGCCCACUGUUUGAUGCAGUGCCAAGAGAAAUCACGUGGACAGAACGCCAAGCACGACUGAAACAUGAAUAUAAUGGCAAGAUUCCAGCUGAAAUCGGACUUGAUUUUGGAUUUCUUUUUCCACAUUUGGCCUGAUUAAGGUACACUAAACCUCACAGAGAUUGCAAUACUCAAGUAUGAAGAGCAAUGCUGCAGCCCACUGUGCACG